rnacentral:rRNA from 1 species
UACAGAGGGGGCAAGCGUUGUUCGGAAUUACUGGGCGUAAAGGGCGCGUAGGCGGCCUUCUAAGUCGAACGUGAAAUCCCUGGGCUCAACCCAGGAACUGCGUCCGAUACUGGAAGGCUUGAAUCCGGGAGAGGGAUGCGGAAUUCCAGGUGUAGCGGUGAAAUGCGUAGAUAUCUGGAGGAACACCGGUGGCGAAGGCGACGUCCUGGACCGGCAUUGACGCUGAGGCGCGAAAGCCAGGGGAGCAAACGGG